rnacentral:rRNA from 1 species
UGCCUGGCGGCCAUAGCGUGUGGGUCCCACCUGAUCCCAUCUCGAACUCAGAAGUGAAAACGCAUAGCGCCGAUGAUAGUGCGGGGUCUCCCCGUGUGAAAGUAGGACACUGCCAGGCAU